AAUUUUAAAGCAUUGUGUGUCCGUAUAUUAAAUUUUUGUUUAGCUAAUAAUAUGUAUAUUAUAUUUUCAAGAUGUAUGAUAAAUAAUUUGUUCAAAUUUUAUUAGUAAUUUGCAGUGGUCAAAUAUUUACUACUACUUUUCUUUUUAGGUGGCUAUGGACAGAAUCAGGGUUGGGCUAAUCAAGCUUAUGGUUAUAAUCAAGGAUAUGGAAAUUAUAAUCAAGGGGGAUAUGGUGGCUAUGGUGAUCAACAACAGAAUAACAGUGGAAAGCCAAGACAUGUAUCUUCUGUUGGACAAGUUUCCCAUCCCUGUAUAUGCUGACUGUAGUCAAUCUGCUGAUCUCAAAAAAACAAAAACAAAAAAAAAAAACUUUUAUAUGAAUCUUUCCAUCACUGUGUGAUCCUUGUCAUUGAUUCAUUGUUUAUAUAGGCUUAAUGUAAAUAAUGGGAACUAUGUUGUUUUGCAAUAAAUUUUCUUUUUAUUUGUUCAGUGUCUUAAGUUGUAAUUUAACCAAACAUUGAAUCAUGUAGGGCUUCUAAUAUUGUUUUUCUUUGUUUAAUUCUCUUCUGAAAAAGAGAGAAAAAUUGUAUAUGUUUAUCUCUUAUUUUUAUCUUAUGCUUUAUUCAUUUACUUGUUGCUUUCUGUACUCUUCAUAAUCAGAAUCAUUGUUGGCAAUUCAUCUCUAAACACUGGACGUGUAUUUGGUCUGGAAAACUUAGUAAUUGAAAAUUUUAUAAAUUUUUUUGUAUUCUCAGUAAAAUUUGCCUUUUCGACUGUUUAUGUAGUAAUAAUAAUUUUAGUUCUCUUUGUUUCGUAAACUAUUUUAUCAUAAAUAUA
rnacentral:lncRNA from 1 species